CCAGAUGAAUUUUAACAUCAAAAUAAAAGACACAGCACCAGAUAAGAUUAUUAUUUAUACUUUUUGUGGUGAUGUUGAAAUUGGCAAAAUUAAUUUUUGAUUGAUCCUGCCACAAUUUUUACUUUAAGAGUAGACAUUGUUCUCAGCAGCGACAUGUAGGUAAGACUGAUUCCCAGUACUGACCAAAGGAAAUUGGAGACCUUAGGCAAAACUGUGAUGGAGCCCUUAAACCCUUUUUCCUACACAUGUGAUAGUUUAUAUAAUCCUUUUGAGGAAUAUUUCUACUUGUAAAAAUGAGUUGCUUAUAGAGUUAUAGGUAAGAUGGUGAUCUGGUUAGAGCCUUAGAGACCCAGGAUCAAUCUUUCUACCUUUACAACCAUGUAUAGCAUGUUUAAAAUGAGGCUCUCAUCCUUGGUGAGGCCUACGCGUUUGUCUAAGCUGCCUUACUGUUGGUCAGUCCAGCUGAUUUCAUUACGAGGAAAAGAGAGAGAAAGCAAAUGACAAUGAAGUGCUGGUCACUUAGCAGUAAGUACAAUUUUCUUUUUGGAAUUACACUUAUAGUACUAACAAACAUUUCUUUUCCCUCUUAUUCUUUAGGCUAUGGGGAGAAUUCAUGCAAUUCAGUCAGAUGGUACUGUGGUCACAGAUGUCGAAGUAUGCCACUCCAAACUGUCGACAUCCCAUCCAUUUGUUUUCAUGAAGAUUACUCUUGCAUUCUUAUUUCACUUUUUCGUUGACUGUUUAUUCUCUAUUAAAAGAUGCACAUGCUUGUUAGAAAAAUUCACCACAGACUACAGUCAGUAUUUUUGUAUUGCAAUGAUUGAAUUUAAGAGAAGUUCCUUAAACUAAGGCCGCAAAUUAAGAGAAUUUUUCCUUAAACUAGCUUAACGUUUUCUUUUCCAUCAAUAAACCAUGGAUUUAGAUAAAAAAAAAUAAUAAUAUCCAUUUUGUUAAUCUGAUAAGAAUCUUCCCAGUCAUUGCAUAGCUAUGGCACCAGAUACUUUUAUAUGAGUAAUGGCGUUAAAUGCAUCGGUGGUUUCAAUGAAGCUUCUUUCAUUAAUGGGAGUUGACACUUAGUGUUCAUGUAUGAGAAUAGUUGUAGGUUGGCACCGUGUUCUUUUUUUCUCUAAAGUAAUUUCUUCACAAGAUCCUUGCAUCAAUAAAAAAAUCAUGUCUUUUGUUUUUAUAUACAUUUGAAUAGACGAUCAAUCAAUGUCAUAAAAAUAUAUUUAGUGAAUGUUGACGCAAGGGCCAAGGCUUGAACAAUUUAUUUAGUGAAAUUUUUUGUAGGCAUUCCGAAGACUUUAUGAAGAAGUUGGUCUUGGAUGGGUGUAUGUCAUUACCAAAUAUGAACCUGUAAGCUCUCUCUUUUCAUAGAUUAAGGGUUUGUCAUGCCGUUGAAGAGGCUUACAUUUUUUUUUCCAUGAAGGGAAAACCUGGAUACUUUUUGUAUUCUUUUAUUAAUAAGACAGCACUAUGUUUGCAGGUUGCGACUAUAGCUAAUGCAGUAUAUGGCGUUUGGGCUAAAUAUCGUAUGCAAGUUACAGGCAAGUCCAUAUUUAUUUAUCAAUUACAGGCAACUCUUAACUUCCAGUUCCACAUAUGUAGUUGCUUUGCAAUUUCAGCAUCAUUAUAUAUUUUGUGGUGCUGAGUUUUUUGUCUGAUGCGAACUGAUUCUCAUGGAUGUAGGCCGGCCGUCUUUGGAAGAAAUCUUUGAGGCACGAAGGAAAAACAGGGUAUGAAUGGAUACCUUCCACCAUCCAAUCUCUUACACAUUAUUAUGAUUAACAUCUCUGGACUUACAUAGCCAACGUGGUUAACAAAACUGUCGCUGUACACAAAAAAUAUUAUAAAACACAUGGACUUUCGAUUGCACAAUAUAUCUUCUUACAUUGGUUAACAAAACUGUCACACCUCAAAAAAAAAAAAAUUAUAAAGAAAAUGGACUUUCUAUUGCACAAAAUAUCUUGUUCAUGAACUUUUUACCUCUCACAGCUAUGGAGACUCAGGAGUACUUGUAUUUACUUAAUUCAGUAUUCUCCAGUUAUCUAAGUAGCAUAUUGUUUGCUAACAUUAUGGUUUUAUGGUUUCACUUACAGGGUGAAGUAUGCAGGGACAAGUCUGCUAAUAUGUGAGCAUCCUAUAGUAUGCAGACCUCUCUGUCUUUCAAAUGACACUAAACCUGAGGUGGGACUCAUUGAUAGUUGUUGAGUACUGUAAUUGUUUGUAUAUAUGCAUUAAUUUCUAUUCGGUUUGUAGCAGCUAGCUGAUACUGUACUUCACAGAUAUAUUGUUUUGAUUGUACUAUUUAGGUAUAAAAAUAACUAUGAGAGUUAUCUCUAAUUUCUUAUUAAUCCCAGAUCUUUUAUUCUUGUAUUUGAAUGAUUUACAUGCAGUUGGUAUAUCUACUUUUUACUGUCAGGUACUGUUAGAAUGCAUGCGUAGAAAUGGGAGUUUGAGCAAAUUCGGAAAAAAAUCCUGGAACUGCGGAAGAAGACUUACUUCCAAGACAGGAGGUGGGAAUUUAAGAAUUUUCCAAGCGAAAUGGUACAUUCUCUUUGUUGGUAUGCAGCAGAAUUGCACAUUUUAAACCAUAAUUUGAUAUUCUUACGUAGUUCAGACUACUUGUAAGAAAUCUUAGAAAAAUAUUGUACUCAUUGAGAGAUACUUACCAAAGUAUGCUUGAUUGCUUUCUAUUAAAUAUAUGUAAACAUAAAGAAGUUUCCGUUAGAUGUAAAUGUAAAAAGAAAGAAUAUACUCAGCGAAAUUUGCAUGCCUCCCUGUACAUAAAUUUGCUUACAUCUAUACUUCACACGUUCGGUGUAGUGAACUUUAAACUAUAUAUGAGAUGAUCAUUCUUUUGCUCAAUACUCAUAUACGUUACAAUAUAAUCUGGAGCAUCUCAUAAGUCACAGAAUUCAAAUAUUUUCAUCUAAUGUGUUAUUUUCCUUCUCAUUCGCUUGAUCAUAAAAUCCCCCACAGCGUCAUAGAUGUGCAAGUUUGACCCCAUGUGGAUGUCCAGAUCCUAACACGUCAUUCAUUCAGUCGUCUACUUGUCUCUGUUGUACAAAUUUCAUCACGUGGUUCAGUUUAUUGCGUAUUGGUUGUACUAUUUAUGUACCAAGUAUGAUUAUCACCAAUCCAAUGAGCUGUCCUUCAUAUUUCACCUGAUAUAACCUAGACUUAAAAAGUCUGAUAUGAUCUGUUUUAAGAGGCUUGUUAGAUAGACAAAAGAACAUUUACCUCGUACUGAGGGAGUUUAUGCAAAACACAAUUUAUUGAUCUAGGUACAUAUCGUUUUAUAAUCAAAAUCUGGAAAUUUUCAAUAUUGGAUCUUUUUAGGAGAAAUCGACUUUUUAACAGGUACAUACCAAUAUUACAACAUAGGGAAUUAAAAUCUCAUUUGAGAAAACUAUAGAUAACUUCAGACAGAGCUGCAAAACUAUGCGAACCAAUCAAAUGAGUUGCCUCUCAUUCAAAAUUUAUCAUUUUAUCCUCUUUCUUCUUGCCACUCUGCAAGACAUUCACAAAUUCACCAAUUUUCUUGUCUGAGCUUCCACCUUCACUAAUGGCCUCCUUAGCUAACUCUCUCCAUUUCCUUAUCUUCUUAGCUUAUCUUAUUGCACUAGAACCACCACCCAAUAUAUUCAAAACAUUACCAACCACAACAGAAAAGUGCAGACAUAUACAACAGCUUUGAAAUAGCCAGUAUACAUUCAACUUGAUGGAUCCAGUUUUCUAUUAUCUUCCGUAUGCCUUUGCAACAAUGAGUAUACAUUUCACAUUACUCUAAGAUUACAAUUAUUCUUCAACAUAUGUAUUCAAUAGCUAAAAAGUUCUGUUCCAGAGAGUACCAAGGAUUUCUACCUGUCUCAUUUAUGCUAAAAUCUUACUUACGAAUUCCUUAUUUCCUUAUCUUCUUAGCUUUCUAUCUACAAUUUUAAUUGGUUAAAAUUUUAGUUAAUUUCUGUUGUUGUUCAACCAAACAUAACACCAUAUGUAUGAAUCAAGAGACAAUUUAACCUCAAAUUUUCCAAUUUUUAUUUUGUCAGAUAGAAUAUCAAUAGUAGAUUUACUAAUACCAAUUCAAAUAAUCUAAAAAAAAAAAAAAACACUAAUCUGAUUACGAAUAAAGAAAACACCGAACUGAUGACAUAUGAUGAUCUGAGAUGAACAGAAAACCCUAGAAGAAACACUAAAAAUAAUAAAAAGUUCAUUGAGAAGAGAGAGAGAGAAGCAAAAGAAAGAAGGAAGAAAUGGCAUUGAGAUCAGCUGUUGUUAGUGUUGGAAAAGGAGGAGGAAGAAACCCAAAGAUUAUUCAUUCAAUUCCCAAACUUGAUAAAAGCAGAUUCCAUGCUUCUAGUUCUGCUGCUCCAUCUCUUUAUAGUUAUAGAACUUCACAUUUCUAUCAACUUCAAGGUAAAUUUUCUCAAAUAAUGUGUAUUUUUUUUAAAAAUGUUUUGAUUAAAUAAUUUAUAAGAUUAUUAAGUCACUGAAAUGAGUGACUAACAAUUAACAAAUCUGUUUUUAUUUGUAGUAUUUCAUUCUUUGGUUAUUAAUAAGUUGAGGAUUGCAAAGAAAAGUUACUCUUUGGUUAUUUGUACUAUGGUCAAUUUCAACAAUGUUCCUACCAAACAAGAUUCAAAUAUUGCAAAACUUUGUGGUCUUCAGAUGCUAACAAACAAUUUUACUUUGUAUGCAUCUUCUUUGGAGGGGAUUUUGGUGGUUGGAACACAUAUCUAGCCUUGAAUAACUCAUCUACAUGUUCAAAAUUCUUACUAUAAAUGUCUGCAAAUCUGUAGGGGAUUUUGGUGAUUAUAUGUAAUUACACAAACUCCCAGCACACAAGUUAUAAGACUGGAUCCACGAAACAAGUUGACCUGCACACAUCCUCGCAAAACUCUAACAUAACCAAUCUGGGAUGCCAGUCUGCAACUAAGACAUGCUCUUUUAUAUUCACUUACUCAAACGUUGCGAUCAUUUUGUCGGUUAGAACUUUUAAAAUGCACCAAAAGCUACCAUCAUCAUUGAUAUUUGAUUUACAUGCCAAUCGAUUUCAUAUACAUCUACAAAUAUUUCUGGUAUUUAGUUCUGAAGGUCUGUUUUAAUCAGUAGGUGUAACAUAUAAGAAUACUUGCGAAACAUUCAAGCAUCAAAUUCGUGCAAUAAAUACUGAGACCAGUGUGGAAACAAAGGCUUCUGUCAAAGAGGAUGAACAUUUGUCUCAGGAUUGGAAGAUUAAAAUGCUUUAUGAUGGUGAAUUCCCACUUUGCUUGAAAGAGGUCCGUUCCAUAUGUUAUGAUUCCUUUUCUGAAUGGUUCAGAUUUUUUUAGUUUGGCCAGUAUAACUCAAAAUGAUUAAGUAAUCUUUUGGAAAUUGGGUAUAGUUAUUCUUGGUGUAAUUAGUUUAACACAGAACACUAGAAAGAUCUCCCUGACUGUUUUCGAAUGUAUUCUUUAUUGUCAGGUUAAUAUGCUUAAAGAGAGGAAUAAGAGCUACAGAACUAUCAAGUUUGUUGAUAUUAGCUCUGAUGACUACUCUCCAGAGGAGAAUCAAGGUCUUGACUAUGAAACUGUAUGUGAUGAAGCACCUUGGAUAUUUUUCCUAACAGUAUAUUAUUAUAUUACACGUUUGUUCACAUUUUCAGAUUUCCAUGACUUGCUAAAAAAGUAACUAAAUGCACAUAGGGCAUAUGUCUCCUAUAACUCCUUUAUUUAAAAUGACUUAUUACUCUGAGGAGACUUCUCCUCCAUUAGGAUUAGUUUGUACCAACUACGAGUGUUUCUAACUUCCAUGUGUUUAAGGAGCCUUAAAGUUUGUGGUUGUCUACAUCAUAUUCCUUAAAGUGAAAAACGAAGUGCUUUUACACAUUCCUUCUCACUCCAUGUGUUUUGAACUUCUAUUAUGUAUAAUGCCUCCUUAAAAUAUUUUUAUUUUUAUAGUGCAAUCAAUAAUUCAAUAUGCACCAAUUCUGACAACGCUCCCAGAUGAAUUUUAACAUCAACAUAAACGACACAAUACCAGAUAAGAUUAUGAUUUAAAUUUUUUGUGGUGAUGUUGAAAUGGGUAAAAUUAAUUUUUGAUUGAUCAUGCCACAACUUUUACUUUAAGAGUAGACAUUGUUCUCAGCAGCGAAAUGUAGGCAAGACUGAUUCCCAGUACUGAUCCAAGGAAAUUGGAGACCUUAGGCAAAACUGUGAUGGAGCCCUU
rnacentral:lncRNA from 1 species